rnacentral:rRNA from 1 species
CCUACGGGAGGCAGCAGUGAGGAAUAUUGGUCAAUGGUCGGGAGACUGAACCAGCCAAGCCGCGUGAGGGAGGAAGGUACAGAGUAUCGUAAACCUCUUUUGUCAGGGAACAAAGUCGGGUACGUGUCCCCGGCUGAGUGUACCUGAAGAAAAAGCAUCGGCUAACUCCGUGCCAGCAGCCGCGGUAAUACGGAGGAUGCGAGCGUUAUCCGGAUUUAUUGGGUUUAAAGGGUGCGCCGGCGGUCUGUUAGGUCAGCGGUCAAAGCCCGGGGCUCAACCCCGGCCCGCCGUUGAAACUGGCAGUCUCGAGUUGGAGAGAAGUAUGCGGAAUGCGCGGUGUAGCGGUGAAAUGCAUAGAUAUCGCGCAGAACGCCGAUUGCGAAGGCAGCAUGCCGGCUCCACACUGACGCUGAGGCACGAAAGCGUGGGUAUCGAACAGGAUUAGAUACCCGGGUAGUC